rnacentral:sRNA from 1 species
AAACCCAUAGGUCUUGAAGAUAAACUAAAAUUGGCAUCUUCACUAUCCAUAUUUAGAUCAAUUGAAUUCAUACCAGGGGAAGGUGAUGACUCGGUAUUGAUUAAAAAUGAUGAAGAUGACGUAACAUCACGACCUUAUCCUUGGAAUGCAGCGGGUGUCAUCAUGUUAUCAUUAGCAAAUUUCUCAAUACCUUUAAGAAUAGGCCAUACAUGAUCAAAUUUGAAUCCUCUCUUGUAUUUUUCAUAUUGAGUUAAUAACAUCUUUGCUUGGUUUAACUAAUUACAUAUUGAUAAGAAACAAAUAAAA